rnacentral:snoRNA from 1 species
CGCUUCUCAAUGAGCUCAUUUCUGCCACUGGUGGCAGCUGUUGGAGUCACAGGAGAAGAAGAGCCAGAUUCCCAGGUGAGCCCUACGAGCUUCCCUUCUGCCAGUGGCGGUUAGUUCUGUUGCCCGUGAGACAUUU